ACGUGAGAACCUGGGGACGCUAGGUUCCGGAACCUGACCUGAGCUGGGGCCUGUGCUUCCAGCGGGUGGUGGGGGGCCUGGUGUGCUGGCAUCAAGUAAGCCGACUACCUCGGCAAAGGCUUAGGGACAAGAGACCAGCAGCCUGAACUGGCUGGGGCAUCCGGAAGGCUUAGAUCUUGUGGCCAAGAGUUCAGACCGUGGCGAAGUGGAGAGUGACAUGCAGUUGGAUGGCGGUGACUGCGUGGUAUGGAAGAAAAUUCAGCUGAAAUUUGCUAGAAAAUGAGUUGUUUUGGAAAGAGACUGUAGAGAAAGGCAAAUGGAAGAAGAAAGCUUCUGUGCCCCCACAGAUACCGACUGAAAAGUGUUAGCAUGAGCAAAAGUUCCUAUCUAAUAUUAUAUGCUUUCCUUUGCUCCCAGGUCCUGCAACCCUGGUUCCAGUCUGGCAAGCAUUGUAGACCUGGCUGCUGAAGACUGACGGGGCCCAGGGUCCGCUGCCCCCACCGCCAUCACCACCUCGGAACCCAGGGUAACGCUGUCAGUCUUUGAUGAUGUCAGAAGUGGGAUCCAAAGUAGAGCUUAUAAUGACACCUAGGAGUGCUGAGUGACCAAGCAAGGUACCCACCAGGCCGAUUAUGUCCAUUGUUCUCUUGGAGCAGCUGGUCAUCAUGGGAAAGGGUGCCACACUGGGAAUGCAAGCUGUCCUUGCUUCUGAACCAAGACUACUAUUGUGCCAGGAAGAGGGUGGGAAAAGAAUCUAACAGAGGGAACUACAGUCACUCAACUACAAAAUUUAAAUACAAUGGGAAUAAUUGGAUCCUGAGGUGGCAGGGGAAAAGUGGCAGCACUCAACCAUCAAAGGCAAGAGCCAAUAAAACUUUUCUUUUGAGUGAUUUGCAGCUUUUAACAAACUGAACCUGCUUAUUUCUGUGAACCAACCAGUGAUCUCUUAUGGCUGUUCAAAAGUAACAAGAGAGAUAUCACCUUUUGUCAUAACUCAAGUCUUAUGAAUGGCCCUCACCAUAAUGAUGCUUUUUGACUGAGCUCUUCUCUAACCUGAAUGCAAGAGGUUAGGCAUGAAUAUCAUCCCCCCUGUUCAGCCUGAAGAAGUUACAG
rnacentral:lncRNA from 1 species